GAGACCACAAUAUCUGAUGGCCAGUAACAGCAACAAGAUCACAUGGGAUGCAGAGGAACAGAGAAUACUGCUCGGAGGAUAAAAACGAGCCAACUGAAGAAGACCUGGUGUUGGCUACACCAGACAAAGGUCUACACAACCGUUUCAAUGGGGCUCGAAAGCUAAUGAAGGGUGUGGAGUGUAUCAAAAACCGCCAUAUGAACAAUACUGAAGUAGCAACCAAAAAACCUAGAAAGGACAACAAAGAGAAAUCCUGGAAGUGAAACAAAAAGAGAAUGAAAGACUGGCCAGAAGGCUUCAAACGCGGAACUGAACCGGCAGAAGACUCUCUGAGAUCAAAACUGGGACUAUGCAAAUGAGUGAAUCUAAAGAAAAGAAAGAAGAAAAGAUGGAAUAAUGGGGAAUAUAGUAUUGGGGACUUGGUGAAAACUCCCCAAAUUUGAUGAAAGAAAGAAACCAUCUAAGAAGCUGAGUUUAAUCCAUGUAGGCAGAACUAUGUCCAAAUGAAAGACGCAUGUUAUAACCAAGCUAUUGGAAGACAAAGAUAAGAUGACUUAAAAUCAGUAAGAGAGAAAUUAAGACAGAUAAGAGGGGCCCACCUCUCCUUUGUGGCACUGGAAUAGGAGUGAAGUACUAUUAAGGCACUAUUGAAUUCUGUUAAAGUUAAUCGUAAGACUUUAUCACAAGCAUUCCUUUGAAUGUUGUAAAGGAUCACACAGAAACACAGAGCCGAUCAAGGAUUGCCCACAGAGGGGAGAGGAGCGCUGUGGGAAGAUGGGGUAAUGGCAGGCCACUGUCAAUGAAUACAAGGUUUCUUCUGGGGAGUUUAAAACGUAAGAUGACAUUGUGUUCACACAGGCUCAACUGUUCAAACCCAUUUGCCUUAUUGUGUAGAAAGGUUAGGGCUAUAGUGUGUCACUUAUGUCUGCAAACUUGUAGCCAGAGGGGCAGAAGGAUUCGGGAAAGGCAUUUUUAGAAAAGAGAACCUGAUGCAAUUCGUCUCCAAGAUCUCCUGCUAAAACAAAGAUUAGAUGGAGCUGGAGAGGUGGCUCAGUGGUUAAGAACACUCCCAGCUCUGUGAUUUAGGUUGCUAGUACCUGAUAUCAGGCAGCUUAGAACUGUUUGUAGCUCCAGCCCUGGGGAUUUAACACCUCUUCUAGUUUCUAGGGGCACUGCACAAAUAUGCAUAGUACACACACACACAUACACUGAUCCAUACGCUCACAUACAUUCACUCACAUGCACAAUUUUUAAAACAGCUACUAAGGAAAGAUGAUUCAUUUGUGAGAUAGAGGGAGACGUAGUCAGGAACAGAGAGCAAUAUAAAUGUGGGAGAUCCUAACACCAUUAGGGGGUGGCAGGGUGGAUUCAAACCCGAGGCCCCCUACACACACAGCACAAGUCUACACCCCAGUCCUGUUCUCCAAACCCCAGAUACCCACAUCCGUCCAGCCCAGAAUCUUUGCAGAUGUUGUUCCCACUGGGUACCAGGUUCCCUGCCUCCAGCUCCGCGGUGGUCUCCUGACCCUCCUCAUCCUUCCGACUUCAGCUUAGACUCCCCUGGAAGGCUCCCAGGCCCUCAGGUAAGCCAGCAUCUCCCUGACAGACUGCAAGAGCCUCUGUGCCUUUGCACUCAAGAAGGAGACCUGUUGGUUGCGAGCGUGCGUGCGUGCUCGUGUGAUUAUCUGACUGGUCGCCUGCUUGCAGAUGUGCACCUGAUCCCUAGCCGGAACCCUUAAUCAAUCUCUCCUUCUCUUGGGGGAAGAAAAGGACGAAAAUAAAUUAUGACUUAAACUAU
rnacentral:lncRNA from 1 species